GACGUAGGUGGCGAACGUUAUCCGGAAUCAUUGGGCGUAAAGGGUGCGUAGGUGGCGGAAUAAGUUAGUGGUGGGAAAUCGGGGCUCAACCCCGCGGAAGCCAUUGAAUACUAGUUUUGCUAGAUGGACAGGAGGGGUUAACGGAACUCCCGGUGGAGACGGUGAAAUGCGUAGAUAUCGGGAAGAACACCAAAGAGGCGA
rnacentral:rRNA from 1 species